GUAGGCCUGCUCACAUACCCUGUACUCCAGGCGGCAGACAUUCUGUGCUACAAGAGUGGCACAUCAGAGGACCAGAAGGCCUGCUGCUAGAUAAUGUCUUCUAGACUCCACAGGGAAGCUAGACCUGUGGUAUCUCAACAAGAUGGUCACCUAAAGAAGACCCACGUAAUGACAUCGCCAGAUGACACCCCAGCAUGGAUGGGAGAAAUCUCACAUGGCUUCAACCCAAGAUAAAGUGCUAUAGGCAGUUACUGCUGCUCAGGGAGGGAAAAUUACUCUGCUUCAGGGCAAGCCCCUGAGAGUCACUCAGCCCCCACUGCUCAGUCCUGAACACAUAUGUAGGAGCAACACUAGAUGCACUCAGAGGGUAUGUGUGUGUGUCUGUCUGUCUGCCUUGUCUGUGUGUCUGAAUCUAUGAGUCUGUGUCAUGUAACAAUAAUUAUAGAAGAAAAGGUAGCAUUGGGGUGAACAUGGGAAGAGUUGGAGGUAGGAGAAGGAAGAGUAGAAAUGAUGUAAAUAAUGCUACCUGUUAUGAGAUUCUCAAAAAAAUAAAUGGUUGGCCAUAUAUUAAGUAAA
rnacentral:lncRNA from 1 species